AGCGAACGCUGGCGGCAUGCCUAAUACAUGCAAGUCGAGCGAACCACUUCGGUGGUGAGCGGCGAACGGGUGAGUAACACGUAGGUGAUCUGCCCAUCAGACGGGGACAACGAUUGGAAACGAUCGCUAAUACCGGAUAGGACGAAAGUUUAAAGGUGCUUCUGGCACCGCUGAUGGAUGAGCCUGCGGCGCAUUAGCUAGUUGGUAGGGUAAAGGCCUACCAAGGCGACGAUGCGUAGCCGACCUGAGAGGGUGAACGGCUACACUGGGACUGAGACACGGCCCAGACUCCUACGGGAGGCAGCAGUAGGGAAUCUUCGGCAAUGGGCGAAAGCCUGACCGAGCAACGCCGCGUGAAUGAUGAAGGCCUUCGGGUUGUAAAAUUCUGUUAUAAGGGAAGAACGACUUUAGUAGGAAAUGGCUAGAGUGUGACGGUACCUUAUGAGAAAGCCACGGCUAACUACGUGCCAGCCGCCGCCGUAAGAC
rnacentral:rRNA from 1 species